rnacentral:piRNA from 1 species
UUUUAGUAGACACAUCUCAUC